rnacentral:rRNA from 1 species
UUUAAAGAGAGUUUGAUCCUGGCUCAGGACGAACGCUGGCGGCGUGCCUAAUACAUGCAAGUCGAACGAACGGAGGAAGAGCUUGCUCUUCCAAAGUUAGUGGCGGACGGGUGAGUAACACGUGGGCAACCUGCCUGUAAGUUGGGGAUAACUCCGGGAAACCGGGGCUAAUACUGAAUGAUAAA